rnacentral:rRNA from 1 species
UACGUAGGGGGCAAGCGUUGUCCGGAUUUAUUGGGCGUAAAGAGCGUGUAGGCGGCCAGAUAGGUCCGUUGUGAAAACUCGAGGCUCAACCUCGAGACGCCGAUGGAAACCAUUUGGCUAGAGUCCGGAAGAGGAGAGUGGAAUUCCUGGUGUAGCGGUGAAAUGCGCAGAUAUCAGGAAGAACACCCGUGGCUAAGGCGGCUCUCUAGUACGGUACUGACGCUGAGACGCGAAAGCGUGGGGACGAACAGG